rnacentral:lncRNA from 1 species
AAUUUGUAUAGAUAAAUGAAUAUUUUAUAAAGAAUUAACAACAGCCAUGUCCAGUGACUCUUAAAUGACUGGCUAGGAAGAUACUCGCUAGUGAUAGAAAUACAAAAUGUAGCUCAUUUUUUAACAACAGAGACACAAAAGACAGCAUUGAAAGGGACAAUCAAAAAUAAAAUCAUAAGUUGAUAACACACAACACAUUAUGGCAAAAUCAAAAAAAGUUAAAAAGAAAAACAACAUUCCACACAACCUCCACCCAAAAUUGAGGGUUAAACAAGAUUUUAAUUAUUGAAAGUGUCAGUCUAGACAAUUGUCAGUCUUGACUGAUAAAAAUUUGAAAUAUCCAAAUGUCCCACAAGACCAAUUUUUUGUAUGAUUCAAGAACUCUAUUAAAUUACAG